GGCAGUAAUAAACGAUUCAGCUGUACAUUUGAAAUUAUAGUGAACAUCAUUAUGGAAUAUUCACCAGCUAUGAAUAACAUAUGUGGUCCUAGAUUUGCCGCAUGUGAGAACGUACGUAGAUAAAAGAUGUUACAAGCUGGCAGUAAUAAACGAUUCAGCUGUACAUUUGAAAUUAUAGUGAACAUCAUUAUGGAAUAUUCACCAGCUAUGAAUAACAUAUGUGGUCCUAGAUUUGCCGCAUGUGAGAACGUACGUAGAUAAAAGGUAUUCAAGACGGCUGCAAUGCAUCAUUAACUAGGCAACUCUGGAUAGCUGAGAUAAUUGAUGUGAAUCUCUUCCAGUUGUAAAUCGGUACACGCUGCAUUCACGGUUUGAGCAAAGGUGUUUUGUUGAUUUUUCUGAGAUAACAUUCGUAAUCCUGUUAAAACAUAUAAAACGUUACAUUGCCAUUUUUAACAGAAAAAAUAUU